CAGCGAGAAAUUGCUGCUAAUACCGGAUAAUGACGUAAGUCCAAAGAUUUAUCGCCAAGGGAUGAGCCCGCGUAGGAUUAGCUAGUUGGUGUGGUAAAGGCGCACCAAGGCGACGAUCCUUAGCUGGUCUGAGAGGAUGAUCAGCCACACUGGGACUGAGACACGGCCCAGACUCCUACGGGAGGCAGCAGUGGGGAAUAUUGGACAAUGGGCGAAAGCCUGAUCCAGCAAUGCCGCGUGAGUGAUGAAGGCCUUAGGGUUGUAAAGCUCUUUUACCCGGGAAGAUAAUGACUGUACCGGGAGAAUAAGCUCCGGCUAACUCCGUGCCAGCAGCCGCGGUAAUACGGAGGGAGCUAGCGUUGUUCGGAAUUACUGGGCGUAAAGCGCACGUAGGCGGCUUUGUAAGUUAGAGGUGAAAGCCUGGAGCUCAACUCCAGAAUUGCCUUUAAGACUGCAUCGCUUGAAUCC
rnacentral:rRNA from 1 species